rnacentral:rRNA from 3 species
AAAUUGAAGAGUUUGAUCAUGGCUCAGAUUGAACGCUGGCGGCAGGCCUAACACAUGCAAGUCGAACGGUAGCACAGAGAGCUUGCUCUCGGGUGACGAGUGGCGGACGGGUGAGUAAUGUCUGGGAAACUGCCUGAUGGAGGGGGAU